CAGUCGCCGCGGGAAUACGAAGGGUGCAAGCGUUAAUCGGAAUUACUGGGCGUAAAGCGUGCGCAGGCGGUUUGUUAAGUCUGUUGUGAAAUCCCCGGGCUCAACCUGGGAAUGGCAAUGGAUACUGGCAAGCUAGAGUGUGUCAGAGGAUGGUGGAAUUCCCGGUGUAGCGGUGAAAUGCGUAGAGAUCGGGAGGAACAUCAGUGGCGAAGGCGGCCAUCUGGGACAACACUGACGCUGAGGCACGAAAGCGUGGGGAGCAAACAGGAUUAGAUACCCCGGUAGUCCCUGUCUCUUAUAA
rnacentral:rRNA from 1 species